CGCGUAGGCGGCUUUGUAAGUCACUUGUGAAAUCUCUGAGCUUAACUCAGAACGGCCAAGUGAUACUGCAAUGCUAGAGUGCAGAAGGGGCAAUCGGAAUUCUUGGUGUAGCGGUGAAAUGCGUAGAUAUCAAGAGGAACACCUGAGGUGAAGACGGGUUGCUGGGCUGACACUGACGCUGAGGCGCGAAAGCCAGGGGAGCAAACG
rnacentral:rRNA from 1 species